rnacentral:misc_RNA from 1 species
GCCUCUCACAGGACGCUCCGCUGCCACGCGGCCGGGCACCCAUCGCGGACGGCGAGGUAACCCAUGAGGUCGCUCGUCAGGAACUCGCUCGGCCACUCCUUCCGCACCUGCGCCUUCAAGUACUUGGACACGAUGUCUAGGUUCUCCGCUGUCAGCGUCGCGCUCUUGAGCGUCGGCGCAAUCUCGUCCGCGAGCCGGUCGAUCCACUGCGG